rnacentral:rRNA from 1 species
UAAUUGAAGAGUUUGAUCAUGGCUCAGAUUGAACGCUGGCGGCAGGCCUAACACAUGCAAGUCGAGCGGUAACAGGGGAAGCUUGCUUCUCGCUGACGAGCGGCGGACGGGUGAGUAAUGUAUGGGGAUCUGCCCGAUAG